rnacentral:lncRNA from 1 species
GCAUCUAGAAUUUUAUGAAAUGGAACACCACAUAAAUGUUUAUCCUUCGUAAGUAAUUGUUUCGUUAACUGAGUAGAUAGGUCAAGAAUAUAGGAUAACGAUUCUCUCUUGAUCUGAUCUCCUCCUGAGAAAAAAUACAUGUAGGUGAUUGGUAGUUAAUAAAUUAAAAAAUUAAAAAAUUAAAUUCUACCCAUACACUAUUACUUAAAGACAAAUGGAACAAGAUUUUUAAAAGCUCAUGAGAGCUCAGAUCAGGAGAGGAUCUUUAUCCCAAGAAUAUAAACCUAACUCGAGAAGCCAAAAAAUUGUGUUAAAAAGGGUACGGCCUAUUUAAUUAUCGUGUCAAAUUUAAUAAUCUAAAUCUACUUUUUUGUGUUGUGUUCAUGUUUGCUAAAUGGAUUGUAUCAAAUUUUGUUAGUACUAUUUAUAGUAUAUUAGAUAUUUAAAUAAGAUUUGCUUCUAAAACGAGAAUUAUAAAGUUCAGGUGUCUAUUACAUAUGUGUCAUGUAAGGCACCGUCCGACGCAAUGUAGCUGGACCCGUCAUGUAAAUAUAUUAAUCUUUCUAGCAUAUCUCUCUUCUCCCCCCUCUUACUUGUAUAAAAAGAAUUAAUGUCGUUAAUACCAACAGGUGAAUACAAAUGUGCCAAAAAAAAUUUCUUUAUUUUUUCAUAGAGAUAUAAUUUCAUUCCAACAAUAACAUAAUAGUAUAACAACUAGUCCAUAACAGACUUGGAGAUCAAUCUAUAGAUAAUCUGAUAGAAUAAAUAGUUGAACAAACUUUUUACUUUCAUAGUUCACACUAACGAAUAAUGAGAACACAAUGCAUCAGAGACUCUAUUAAAGAGCAUCUCUUAAUCAUGCAUCCAACAUGCUCAAGCUCUAUCGGGAACAUCUCCAAUACCAUGUCUAGAUCAAGUAGUAUGUAUAGUUUCAGGUUUAUGUGCUUUUUUUUUUUUUUUUUCGAUUCCACCCUAUGUGGUGGUUGUGUUCAUUUGGUUGUGUUUCGUGUUGCUGAUGUGUUCAUCUUUCAGAUUUUGUACUUGAAUGGGUAAGAUUUGGCAAAUAGGUGACCAUGAAUCAUUUUCUAAUGUGGAUUUGUUACAUUGCUGGUUGUAUUUUGAACCUAAAUUAAAUCUAUUUAAUUAGUCUUCUGGGAGUAAAUUUAUGAUUUACCUAGCAAGAACAAAAAUUCCUUAGCGACAUCUAAAUUGAUCGUGUACAUAUUAAAAGGAUGUGUAUAAAUCAUUACAUGAUACUUUAGUAUGCUGAUAUUUUUCCUAGCACGUCAGUAUGAGAAAUCAAUUAUUUGUUUAUCUGUUGACUGCAAUGAAUUUAUCUGUACAUUAGUGACACACACACACACAUAUAUAUGUAAUCAUUUUCAGGUGUGGAUGCCUUCAUUUGUUUUAAUGCGAACACGGUUUUAAGCUAUGCGGUUUUAUAACGUUAUGCACUAACUUUAUUGAACUACGCCCGUACUAAAGAAGGAUUAUAUAUAUGUGUAAUAUAUAUACGUAUACAUAAAGUUCAUGCAAACUAAGGUUUUUAUUUAAGCAAUUCACAUUUUAACAAUAAAUGCUCUUCACUCUUGUUUGCUGGUGUAAUUGGAUGGAUGGUUUUGCUUCAAUAUUCUCUGUCUCGCUCUUUCGUUUAUAGUUUUUACCAACUAAUUGAGAGGAAACAAAAACUGUUUGCCGAACGGCCGAACAUGUCCACCGUAUAUAUACUGGGAUCUGUGUAAGUUACAUAAGUAUUAACAACUGAUCGUGUUUUUAAUUACUUUUGUUUAUUAAUAACUUGUAAUGAGAAAUCUAAUUGCACUGAUAAUUUGAGUAAAUUUCAUAUAUUUUCUUUACAUUUUAAAAGUGAAAAACUAAUUUAACACUAUUGGACCAAAAAUAUUAUGGGUCCAACUAAAAUUCAAAUAAAUAUUGUCUAAACAAAGCCGAAGAUGAGUUCUUAGGAUCCAAAGAGAACACAUAUUUAAAAUAUGUGAUUCUUCCUGUUUUUUCGUUUGGUCGAGCUUUCUCAUUGGAAAGUUAUGCUAUAUCUUGAAAGUAUUUGGCAAACCCAGCAGUACUUCAUUCUUGAAGCACACAAGCAGGGGUCCUGUACCACCAACGUAUGAUUUACUCGUGACUAGUCAAGGGAAUAGUACAUGAGUGAGUGCCUGAAUUAUGAGCCUUGCCUUACAGAUAGACAAAUUAUAAUCAUGAGUUUUGUUCCUCAGGGUUUUGAAAUCUCAUUACCAAGGGUACAAGUGAUCAAACUUUUAACCCGUCAAAACAUUAACGUAUAAGUAUUAUACGUUCGCUUUUCAAGCUCAUGCAAGUUCCAGUAAUUUGGCACUACAUCAAUGGGCAGACUGAAAUCAAGAGGUGAGUCUCCACUCACCAGACUCUCUUAAUAAUGUAUAACAAGCACCAUACUAAAAUUAGAUACCUUAUUAAAAUGAAACUCCCAAACAUGAUCACAAAGGUCUUCUUUUGUGAUAUGAGUCUACUAGAAUCAUUAAUUGAUCAAAAUUGUAUAAAGGUUGUAUAAAGGUUUAAAAAAAAGAAAUAUCUCAUUAAUUGAUCAAAAUUACUAAGUUCAUCUAUUAGUCAAAAUUAGAAUGAUAAAAAAUCAUUAAAUAAUAAAUAUUCUUAAUUUAUCUGUUAUUGUUUAUAGUAGUUGUAGUACAUAUAUUAAUUAAAAUUUAUUAUGACCGUAAUUUUCAAUAUUUCACAAAUCCCCCUCUCUGUUUCUUUUCUUUUAUUGUGCGUUUUGGUUAUUUUUUAGGGAGAUAGGCCCCCUGAUGCGACUUACAAUUACAGGUGACAUGUCUAAUCUUGCUCACAAUUAGUAGAGACUAGAGAGUCUACGGUCAAAAUUCUUUUUUUUUUUUUAAAAAAAAAGAGUAAUUUGAUUUUUCAGCCACUUUCCUUUUUUGUUAUCAACUAGUCAUAACUCACAAGCGUGACAAUCACUAAAUUCAGGGUGUGUUUGGAAUUGAUGUUGGACAGAUAUAACUUAAAAGUUAUAACAGUAAAGUAUUUGGUAAACACUAUCUGUUGUAACCUGAAAGUUAUGUUAAUAUGAUUUUUCACUUAUAUAAUAGAGAAUCUAUUAUAUCUUCAAUAAUUUUGUCAAAAUUAUUAUUUAAAAUUAAUAUUUAUUACAUAUUAUUAAUUUUUGUUUCAUAGUUACAACUUUUUUUUCACAGCAAUUGUAGCUUAAAAGUUACAACACCUCAAUUCCAAACACACCCCGAAAGUGACUUCCUCACAGCCGGCAACUAUCCACUUGCCAUUAGUUGAAUGCGGGAGUGGAAUCGUGUCUUUUGAAAGUUAAAAUAAAGUUAGAAGGAAACAAAUUGUCAAUGUGGGUUCUUAGAUCAAUUUUAGGACAACCACAUGAUUUUGUUGAUGGAAUAAAUGUCAUUAACGUGUUUAUUUUUUAGAUUUAGAAAAAAUAUCAUGUGUUUAUUUUGGGAUUUAAAAAAAAAAGAAGAAUGAGAAUUAUUAAUAAUAUUUACUUGCUAAAAAUACAAAGAAAUAUAAAUAAAUUUUAAGUGAGUCUCAUAAAUUUAGGAAUGAGUAAGAAUUUCAUUUAGAUGGAAGAGGCGGGAAUAAGAAUGGAGAAAUGAGAAUAAAGAGUAAAAAUCGUUCAUCUUUAUUGAAAAUUACAACUUUCUUUUUACUCCAUUUUGGUAACUUACAAUCAUCUAUUCUAAUUUUAAAAUAAAGUAAACACAUCAAGUUUGGAAUACUGUUGAUUUUGAUCUCGGUUCUUGCAGUUGAAAUAAACAAUUUAUUCUUCUACAUUUUGAUUCCAAUUCAUUUUUAUUCCAAUUCAUUUUUAUUCUUGCCUAUUAGGAUUCAUAGUUAAUAAAUGCACUACUAAUAUAUUGUCAAAGAGACUCUAUUUUUUAGUUUCAUUCUAAUUCAUCUCAAAUCUCUCUCAUAUUGAAUACUUUGUUGAAAUUUAUUAAAGAUAUUUAAAAAAAAAUUUAUCGACAACUCUAGCUGCCAUCUAUAUAAAUAUAUUAAUUUUUUUUCUAAUUAGUGCUUCUUAAAAAGAAUCUACCUCAGCCAACCCAAUCAAUUUUUUCUCCCUCAGCCUUCCAUAGGAUUUGAAUUCGGGUAAUUAAUAAAGUAAAAUUACUUAAAAAUCACUCGGCUAAGUCUUUGAGGUAGUUUAAUCUUAGAUAAAUAUUAAGGACUUAUCAAUUAUCCUAUUAAAAUUAGUAUGUAUAAGCAUAUGGCUAAGGCAAACCAAAUCAAGUACAGUUGACGUUAUAUGUGAUAGAUUAAAUGAUUUAUAGAAGUGAGUCAUCUGUGAUAUAUAUCAUACAACCUAAUUCAUUUGAAUUUGUGAAUAUUGAAUUUGAAAGCAUAUAUUUUGGUAGUCUAUUUUAGAGUAAUUAAUUUUAAUUAAAAAUAACUGUUAUAGUAUUAUCUCAAAACGUCACCUAAAUUGUAAUUUUAAUUGAUAAAAUCUCACGACUAAGGUUAAGAGAUUUAGAGAUUUUACCUAAAAGUAUAAUGGUAGGUAUUGGCGUUUGCCUUGCCCGCUUUAUCAUGGUCCAAAAAUCGCCUUUUGGGCCAUGGAGCGGCUCAUGUGCUUGCUUUGCACAAUCUCUAGGAAUCCAAACUUGAUUUUGUUUUUGGUUUACACAUAUUUCCAUGGAAUUCGGCAGAGAGCAGAUGAUUAGGCUAAUUCGGAGUUGGAAUUCCUUUCUGUUCAGUAGUGGGACCAAACAGGGAGGGAGAACGGGCUGAGCUUGGACAAGCCCAGGCUCAAGUCUGAGCUCAUAAAAGCCCUUCCAAAUUUGGAGGGGCUGAACAGAAGUUGGCCCAUCAUGUGUUUGAGCUUCCUCAACCAUUUCAUUUAGAGAGUGCCUAAGUUACAUCUAUUGUAACUUAUUGCUUUUGUCUUAUUUCCUUUUGGCUAAUAUCAUAUAGAUCCUUUAAUUUUUUUCUAUUUCCAAUUUUUAUAGUUAUGGAUGCAUUUGUCUUCUUCCAUCUCUCAUACAUCUAUUUUUUAUUCUUUCUAGGAUUUUAUUUAUUUCCUUGAACAAUAACAAAUGAUUGUCAAAUUCAUAUAAGUCUACAAAUUCAUAAUAGACAUCUGGUUCUAAAUUUAUUAUUCCUAUCCUUUCUUGUUCUAAUAAAUCUAUUUUUUGGUUUAUUAAAUUUAUAUAUGUAUUUACUAUGUUUUCCCAUCCUAAAAACAAAUGAUCUAUACUACUUGCCAAUUCUUGUAUUGUAUUAACAGCUUGAUUCAUAGCGUUUCUAUUUUAUACCAAUAUAUUAAAAAUUUUAUAAAUUCAUCUAUAAAUUUUAUUUUCUUUUCUAUUAAAAUUUCACCACCUACUGUAUCUAUAAAUCUUUCUCUAAACUCCUGGGUUAGUUCAAGUUCUAUAUUUCUUAUAUUAUUUUUAUCAGUUUUAAUUGCUUUUAUUAAAUUUUUUAUAUCUUCUUUAUCAUAUACCUUUAAUGUAUGCAAACUGUCUACUAUAGUUCUUAUAGGAUCCAUGGAGUCCGUGGCUCUGAUACCAUUUCGUCGUUAUUAAAAUUUAAAUCAAAUAAUCAAAAUUUCAAAAUUACUAAAUUUACAAAAUUACAAAAUUAAUUCGUGCGUUAUUAAAAUUACAAAAUUAACUUACUAAUGCGAAGAAUGAUUCAUAUGAAUAAAUAAACACAUAUGAUCAACAAAUUAUUGUUCAUUCAGAAACAUAGAGAACAUAUAUUUUUAUGUAACUUAAAUAUUAAUAAUAGAAAAGUGCGUGGCGUUGUUACACCCCUAGGUACAGCUAUUAAAAUAGCACUUUGGACCAAUAGCCCGCAACCCAAAGAGGUUUCCAGCCUAUAUACUUUUCAUAUUUCUUAAGUUAUAUUUCAAAUUCUUCAUUAUCUGAAUUAUAGGUAUAUGAAGGUCCAGCUUCAUAAUCUUUAUGUUUCAAAUAUGCUUUUGCUAUAUCAAUUCCUUCAUCUAUUGUUGGCAUAAUUAUAUUAUGUUUUAGAUUGUCUAUUUCAAUGUUUUCUAUAAUUUUCCGUUUUAUUUCUUGAGGUAAAUUAAGUGAGUGUACUGCUAAUAAGUCUUCUAUUCUAACGAGUUCCUAUUUACUGAACAGAUAUGAACUCUAUUUAUAUGAUCCUAUAUUAAAAUCUAUUAUCAUCAUGUACUCAUUGUAUGUUAUUUUAGUGGUUGGAUUUAUUAUGUAUUCUUUAGAUUCUCCUAAAUAAAACUUGUGAUCCAUGUUAUAAACAAAAAGUUUGUUUCAGUUUGAAAGUUUUUCAGUUUAAAAGUUUUGCUCUUACUCCAUAAAUUAUCCCACCAACAACCAUCAACAAACUUCCACCAAGAGAUAAAAGUCGAGUAUUAUUACCUGAUUUAUCCUUUCUCCUUUACCUUCUGAUCUCCUUCCAGUAACCUGCAGCCUGUUUGUCCUGUGCCCUUACAGCGUCCUGCCUCAGCGGGAUCUGUGGACUCAGAUGGAUUUACUGUAUGGAUUUCGAUCGUCUUGAUAAAGAAGUGUUGGAUAAGUUUAGGUUUCUCUUCUUUUUCUUUGAUGGUUUUUGUUUUUGGUUGAUGAUGUUUUGAUUUAGGAUUUCGAGCAAGCAAGUGUUUAGUGAUCCAUCGUUAAUAAUUUCAGAGAAAAAAUGAAGGAUGUCUGAAAACGUC